GUUGCUUCUCCUGCAUGAGCUUCCUAUUGCUUCUGUGCCCAUUUCUGUGCUCUUUGUCUCUCUCUCUCUCUCUCUUUUAUAAAUUAUGUACAGUAGCUGUGUAAGAAGUGCAUGUGUGCCAACUUUGCCCUCGUGGUGCAACAUUUCAGCUUUUGCCCACUGUAGAGUUAUCAGUUAAUUUCUUUUUGUUACUAAAGCAAAUUUGACCCUACUCCUUUCCUCAUCCCAGACCCAAUCCAGUAACUUUUAUUUGCUCGCCACAACGCGUUUGAAACUUAAGUGCCAGACAAAUUUUGUUUGUUCCCAUCUGUUUGACUAGAGAGUUUCCUAGCCCUCUGUGUUCAGUUUGCAAGCUGUAAAUGGCAUGCUAUGUGCUUACAACUCUGGAUUUGCUUUCCUCACCAAAGUCACGUUUGUAAAUUCUUUGCAGUUCUUGUUUUAUUUUGCUCUUUGUUAACAUUUCCCACUACUGCUGUACAUGCGUCGUGAUAUAUAUAUGCUAGUCAGCAGCACCUUGCUGUAGAUAUUAAAGGAAAUGGCAGUUUAGUUCUUUUAUUUUCCAGUAGGAGUAUUGAAUCUGUCAAACAUAUUAUGUAGAGAUGGUCCCACACUUAUAUUUUUCCUGUUUCGAGUUUUUUUAAGAAAGGCGCUGUUCAUUAUGCAAAAUCAAUUAUUUUAAGAAUUGCUAUUGUAAAUAUCUUUGUGAAUAUUUUAGUAUCGUCUUUGAUAAUAUUCAACAUUUUCAUGAUCUGAUUAUACUUUUGCUGGUGUUUUUAAAUACCUUGUCUGAAAAAAAAUAUAUGGGUCCUUUUUUAACAAAAAAAAAAAAAAAUUUGAGGGUUCUUUAACAGAAUAAGGGAGGUUUUUUUUCUUCCCCCUCCCCGCACACCCCUCCCCCCCCCCCCAAUCCGUUUUCUUUUGAAAAAUUAGCCCAAACUUCAUAUCCAUUUACCUGAUGAACGAAUUGAUAUGUCAGGCAGUACCUGGACAAUCAGGGCCCAGCUCUGUCAUGGAAACACAGUAAGAAGUGAUUGCCUAGGGCAAAAAUCCCACCACCCAACCAACCGAUGUUCCCUGGCCAUGUGAUGCCUGUGGGCUGGUGACGGCAGAGGUUUUGUCCCUUUGCCCCAGUGAGCAGGACACCUAGGAGCAGCUGUCUGAACGGGUGAAGAAGCACUAAGGCAAGCAGCGAGUACGUAAGGCUUGACAACCUGUAGAGGAUCUCUGCAGAAUAUAAAAGAUACCUUGGUAUAAUACAUGGUAACGUGGUUGUGGUGUGGUGCUGCUGCCACGUCAACACUAGGAAAGACCAUUCUUCAGUUACAGAUGUGUUUUGUAGCCAUUUUACUGUAGUAGUUUUCCCCUAUAUUUUUGCUGCAUUGUUCAUGUAUGUAUUGAAGCCAUUUUCAGGGGUGGCGAAUGAUAAACCGACGUUAUGCCCUUAGAGUUUUGUUUUGUUUCAUUUCGGGGGAAGUUUCUUAAGCCAUAGGUUUUGGAAUAAAGAACAUUUCUCAGUACUAGAUGGAAUGGGUUGCUCAGCUUUUUUAAUUGAUUCUAUUUAAUCCACUCUCCAUUGUUUCCUGAGCAGCUAAGUUAGUCACCUGAAAUUGCUUUUCUCUUAAACACAACGUUAGCAUUUUAAACCAGGUAUGUUAAGAAUUGACUUUUUGCUAACUGGUAGUAUUUAAAAUGUAUCAUCUGAAAGUACCUGCUGGAAAGAAUAAAGGGAAAAAAAAAACAAAAACACGUCGUUAUUAGCAAUAUGUUUGGAGCAGUGUUUGCAUCUGCUUUGUACAGUAAUGGAGCGUUAAAGUGGAUGGUUGACAUGUUGGAGCUUAGAGAAGCGUUCGGUUUCUAAGCAGAACUUAGAUGAGAAAACACAAUUUUUACCCAUCACCCAAAUGUUGGACAUACGAGACAGUUUUAAAUCUAUGUCAGCUAAAAUCAGGUACUGUAUAGUAGAUUCAGUAUGGAAAAGCUUCUAAAUGAAAAUUUAGUUAUUUUUUUAUCUGUUCACUGCCGUAUUAAAGUUUAGAGAAAAAACCUAGCAAAUAGGGUAAUCACAGUCAUUUCUUUUAAAGCUUAAUUAUUGUAUGAAAUUCCAGUAGUAUUUUUAUUCUUCUUUUUUUGUUUGUUUACUUUUUAAUUGUUUCCCUAUGGAAGUUCAUCUGGGAAAGAACCCACAGAAAUCUACAGUUCUGCUGCCAAGACAUUAUUAUAGGACUGACAGAUACACGCCAAUGUCUGCAGCGGAGACUCAAGGGACAUCUGUACAUAUGUAAAUGACAAAUAGAGACAUGUUAACAGAAAUGCAUUCAUUUUCCUUGGAAUGUGCAUUGUUUUUAUUUCGCAGGAAAAAAAAAAAAAAAGCUUGAAGCUCCAUCUUAUGUGGAAAAUGAAUCCUGUUUGUUAGCGUUUGUGGAGUCCCGGCAUUCGUUUCACUUUCACUUCUGUAAUAUACUCUGAUCCUUCGUUUUGUUUUGUUUUAUCUACAUGUAAUAUUUAGCUUACGUGUACUAGUCUAUCACCUGUGUAUUUUUAGGGUGCUACAGAAAUAAUGAAGAAAAAUAAGGGGAUUACCAAAAAAAAAAAGUAAAUUGUAACCAAAUUCAUAACUUUGUACAAUUUUUGAUAUCGCGAUCAGAGGGGAAUUAAAAAAGAGAAAAAAAAAAAGAAGUACAAUCUGACGUAACACGCAAAAACGGCCAUUGUCUUUGUUUGUACAUUGUAUGUACAGUACAAUGCAAUCAUUUCAUACUUUAAACUGGUCAGAAAAAAUAAUUGUGAUUUUUAGUCUUGCAAAACUGUAUGUAGUUAGAUGAUGUGACAACCUAAUAUUUAUCUAAUAAAUAUGUAUUCAGAUGAAACCUGUAUAUUAGGUGUUCAUGUGGUUAUUUUGUAUUUAAAGAUCAAAUUAUUUGACUAUUGCUAGACAUUUAUAUACUCUGUUGUAACACUGAGGUAUUCUCAUUUGCU
ensembl:lncRNA